CCAUUCCCUCCAGUCAACUACUGCUGAGGAGUUCAAGUGCUGCUCGGAAUUCAGCCCACUCUCUUGGUCAACAAGUUGAAGGUGUCCAUUCUCAAUCUCUUUCAGGUACACCACUAUCCCACUGCUUCUUCUUUAUUUUCAACAACUAAGAAGCUACUUCAACCUGGAGGGCACUUUGUUUUCAGUGAAAUGAGCCAACACUGUACAAGUCAACCAGUCCCCAUGAAAGCUGCAGGCAAUCUGAUUUCGGAGUAAGAACAUUGCAGUACUCUCUAGAAUAAUAAAUUCAUGGACAAUCAAAAGUUAAAAGUUUAUAAAAUCACUGACGUUCAAAUUUGUUAUUUUAGUGCUUAUUUGCCACGCUGCCGCAUUAGCAAAGAAAUGCAAUACUUGCUCCACCUGUUGGUUGUUUCGAUGCAACACGGGGUGAGUCAAAUUUAAAUUUUGAAGACUUAAAUAACUGUAUUAAAGUCAAAACUUAUGAAAAGCCCAAACCCCCAGUGUAUGAAUAGGCUCAACACUGUGUUACAAGCAACCCCCUGCGCCUCCAGAUACAGAGUACAAAUUAAAUGUUUGUUCAUAACAGCACUAGUGUGGUUGCUUUAGGGCAAAUGUCAGUCAUGUUAACACACACAAAUGAUGAGAUGUGUUUUUUCAAAAAAAAAAAAAUGCUCAGAGACUUGCAUUUUUUUUCUUUGUUGCUCUUUUUUAAACAAUAAUAUCAUCACAUAUAAACUGUCUCUAUCAUAAAUCAAUCUAUAAGACAUUUUACAACUCAAACUCAGCCUGAAGUACAGAAGAAAAGUACAUUUACAAAUACAUUAAGACACUGUGACACAAGGUAGCUGAGUGAAAAACAGUAAGGCACCGAUGCCGUCUGUGGCAUAGGUAGUUUUCGAAAAAAAAAAAAAACCCAAUCAAAACCAGCAUUAAAAACCAGAAAACUGUUUCUUCAAAAUGUGCCAAGAACAUGAAAUCAAAAGAAACAAUACUGCAGAGCAUAAAUAUGUUGUUUUAAAAACCUUUUUAGUGAAACACAUCUUGUGAAAGAUUAGCUAAACAUUGAAAGAGGAUGUUCUACCACGUGUCUGUGUCGUUUGGUGCAGGAGCAAAGAAAGGCCAUAAAAUCUUGAAAUUUAAAAACCACUAAAUUAGUAGCAUUCAAAUACAGUAUUUUACUUUGAAAACCAUCUAUCUGAAUUUAUAUGGUCUGAAUUUCAAAACAAACAGAAAAUGGAAAAUUUAAGGGUUUUCUUGUCAUUCAUUUGAACUUCUUUCACCACGUCUGACAGAACAUGACCGGAUAGAGGUCUGAUCAAUCCUCGACAGCCCAGAUGUUUACUGUACAUUUUAAUAUAGUAUAUUUUAAUUUUAUAAUUAAAUUUUGUUGUCUCAA